GCCCCUAUAGCCCAGUGGUUAGUGACCCUGCUUACUGAGCUGGAGGUCCCGGGUUCGAAUCCCGGUAGGUGCA